GGGGCACUGGGUCUCUUUCAGUCUCAUUACCCAGGAUGUGCACUUGGAUCACCAGAGCAGCCGGCCCCUCUGCCAGCCUUCUCUGCAAAGUUACUCUGUUCCUCUUUGUUAUUAACAAGACCUCAAAAGGACUGACUUCGUUGGACAGAGAGGAAAGCUCUAAGAUGGUCACUGAGCUUCCUUGUACCCCUUAUCUGCAGAGUAAAGACAAUAUCAUGAUCUCAA